UUUUUUCCCCAGUGUGAUCCUGCUUUGCUUCCUGAACCCAACCAUGUCAUGCUGAACCACCUCUAUGCCCUUUCUAUCAAGGAUGGAGUGAUGGUGCUCAGUGCUACGCAUCGUUACAAGAAGAAAUACGUGACUACCUUGCUGUACAAGCCAAUAUGAACAUCAUAGUAGUUUGUCACCGAGUGUUCUGGGCCAGUGCAGUCUCAGAAGAAAAUGCUUCUCUUAACCAAAUGUAUUCCUCCUCUGUGCUGUAGCAAAUGAACUCUGACUUCAUGUUGUUUCUGAGACUUCAGGUUCUCCUAUAUUUGCCUUAUUUUCCUGAUCCCACAGUGGAAAUUCUUGGAAAUGGCAGCUUUGUGUCAGCUAGACCUAUGGCAGGUGUGUCAGUGCCCGUGGUCAGCUCACUUCAAAAAAAGAAAAGCAAGCACCAAUACAAUAAGGCUGAAAAAUGUGAGAGUAGUAAAACAGAUUAAGGACUUUCAGUGAGACAAAUGAUAGGAAACAAGCCAGCUCAAAGUCUAGAAAGUCCAGGAUUCUUGUGGAAUCUUAUCUAAGCUCAGCAUUCAGCAAAAGCAAGCCUAUUAUAACUGCUUCAUCACUUAGAAUGCAUCAAAGCCACAGUUAUUUCAGUAGAAAGUUCCAAACUUGCAUGGCUGAAAUAAGUGUGAAUAGUGAUGAUUAUUUUGUAGCAGCCUUUCUAGGCUAAACCAUCAACACAAUCACCUACGGGCUCGUUUUUAUUUUACAGUAGAUUGGGGUGCUCUGUUUCUACUGUGAAUAGCUCUGUAGUUUUUUCUCUUCAUGAGAACUGAAUUACAACUUUUUCCCCUGUGGAACUUCUGGUAAAGACAGUUGUUUUUAAUGGCUGGGUUUUUCUGUCAAUCCUAGAUGUGUCUUGCAGUAAUCUGCUUUUUUGCAACCAAAUUCCCUUGCUGUCACCGAUGGCUUCGUGAUGCUGGGUGAGGUAGCUGGAAGGACAGCAGUAGGUUCAGUGUAGGGUCUUGUUCUUCAGUAACAGCCUCUGUCAGCCAUUUCAAAGGUGACUGUAAGUUAGCUGUAUCCCAAUGGCCAGACUUGACUGCUGGUCAAGUCCAGCUAGAGCUGGGCUCCUGCGCCAGGCUGCAGCAUUGACUGCAGGUAGAAAAUCCCUGGUGCUUCCAAAGCCAGGCCUGUGGCCAUCUCUGCACAUUUUAGUCUAUUCAUAUUUUCUAAGUAAGUGAACAUAGUAAUACCAGGUUGCCUGUAUGUACUUACAGGUACUUGCAGCCUAUUUUAUCCCAAAAUAAAUGCAAUGUUAAUGUAAAACUGCCUGCCAGCGUGCCUCAGGUCUGUCCUGGGGGAGGCAGCUUGGGAGGUGACCAGCUGGGUCUGUUCCUGUUGGUGCAUCAGUGCCUGUGCCAAUGAUAACCAGCCCCUCUCCUACAGUGGGGAAGAGCACAUUGAACAAAUCAGUGGGGACAAAAGCAGCCAGCACUCAGUGGAACCAGCCACAGCAGAGGGGGACUUGCCAUCCUCCACUCUGUUCACUUGCCUCGUUGCAAUAUUCCCAGUAGCUCAGUAGAUCUGGGUACAGUGCAAUGGUUUUCUUUGAAAACUCUCUUCAUUCUGUGCUAUGGAAAUUAUUUGGUAUUCUGAAAUAUGGAAUUGCUUUUGUUUUCAGCCUUGUUAGAAACAAAUAAAUAAAACAUUUUCAAGGAAAUGGU